GUUCUAUUGGGGAUUUAGGUCUCCAAGACGACAGUUAAUAAAAUUAAAAUUAUUCUGCAUCUGUGUCAGGCAAGUUUCAGGUAGACCAGGACACGCUUAUACAAAAAAUAUAUGAAUACUAGAAUCUCAGGUACUUUUAGUUUAAUUAUACCGGCGCACUGCAUAAGGAUAAUGAUGUGUCUAGAAAGAAUGGGAGAGGCAGAAAGAGCUAUAGUUAGGGGAGAAAGUCAGUGGAAACAAAGAGAUGGUUAGAAAGUGACAGAGAGAGUGGCACUGAUGAAGAGAUGUGAUAGAGAGCCAAGAGGCAUACACAAAGGGAGAAGCUAAAGGGCAGACAGAAGAAGACAGUGAUGAGGACACAGAAAGAAAUGCUGGGGUAAUGUGACAUCAAGCUCACAGAUACAAGCAAGAGUCUUGUUCCACACAGUGACAUCUCCUGAGUUCUUGGAACUCCUUCCUUAGCCCCAUGUCUUCUUACUGGUAUGAAAUAUAAUUCAUAUUCUCCUUCUGCCUCUUUCCCAUACUAUGUAUGAAGCCCACCACAUGACAGUGUCCUUUAUUUUGUUUCUGGACACAGUUCAAGCACCCAGAAGCAUGAAUUGAUGCACAUUAAAUAUCCACUACAUAUUGAAAUAACAGCAGUAAGUGGCAGUUAGUGACACUGGCUGAGGUUAACGUGGGUGAGGAAUGGCAGUGUUCUAAGUCAGUGUUUUCUGAACUUUAAGAACUAUAGCUAAGUUUUACCGUAACUCAACUGCUUGGCUACCUGGUUUUCAAGAAAAGGACUGGACACAGACUUUGAUGCUAAGAGAGCAUUCCUCCCGUUGUAGUGACUGAGAACCUCAGCCUCUGUAGCAACUGAGGUAAUCUGCUUCAUCCUUCUCUUCAAGAGUACUGUUGACCUCACUGUUUCUGUAUAAGAUCUUGUAGCUUAAAGUCGGUCACAGUGUAUUGUUGGAGACUAAGAGUUCUGAUACUUUGAGCUUCCUCUGCCUUCACUUUAAACAUUCAUAUUGAAAUGAUCAUACUUUCACAGGAAUUUGUGAAGAAAUAGUAAGAUUCUCAAGCACCCAUCAUCCAGUCUCCCCACACAUGAGCACCUUCGUAACUACAGUACCUUGGUGUUAAUACAGAGUACCAGGCUCAUUCACAUUUCAUCACAGAUGCAAUUACAUGUUCAUGUGUACAUACAGCUCUACACAACUAUAUCUCAUGUACAGAUUCAUAUAAACACCACCCAAAUCAAGUUUUAAUUAUCCCAUCAGCACAAGUCUCCUUCUGAGGAUCAGUCCCUUAGUGACUGGCUUUUGUCAACUUGACACAAACUAGAGUCACCCAGAAGGAAUUGAGAGGGAAACUCAAUUGAGGAAAUACCUCCACCAGAUGGGUUAUUGGUAUGCCUAUGGGCUGUCUUUUUUAAAUUAUUGAUUGAUAUGGGAAGGCCUAGCCCACCAUGGGUGGUGACAUUCCUAGGCAGGUGCUCCUUGGAGGUAUAAGAAGGGUAGCCUGGAAACAAAUCAGCAACAUUCCUUCAUGGCCACUGUUUCAGUUCAUGCCUCCAGAGUCCCUGAGCUCCUGCCCUGGAUGAUAGACUGUUAACUGAAGUAUAAACCAAGUAAUCCCUUUUCUCCUCGAGGUAUUUUAUUCAGGUUUAUCAUAGCAUCAGAAAGGAGACCAAAACAGUCCCUUUGUAAAGAUACUCUAGAGUCAGGUAAACCUUGCUGCAGUACAUCACCCUCAGACUUCUGGCUGAAUAAGGACUUUGGGAGUGGAAAGGUCACACCUGAUAUUAAACUUCGGUCACCAUGGUAAGUUCAACACUUAGUCUUGUUUGCAUUGACUUCCAGGGAGUCUCCAAGGAGAAAAUACCUUUCUUCUGCAGCUUCAUUUCUACCUGUAUCAUCUCAUGCACAAGGAGCUCUAGACUACACAGCAGGACAUAUAAAAGGCUCUUUAGAUGUGAAAGAAUAUCAUGAAGCCGUUAGCCAACCAGCCUGACUAGGGAGGGUGACCUUUGUUGCAGGUGACCAGGGAGGCUGGCCUUUGUUGCAGGUGACCAGUGAGGGUGGCCUUUGUUGCAGGUGACCAGGGAGGCUGGCCUUUGCUGCAGGUGACCAGGGAGGGUGGCCUUUGUUGCAGGUGACCAGGGAGGCUGGCCUUUGUUG
ensembl:lncRNA